CCCUUAGAUGUUCUGGGCAGCACGCGCGCUACAAUGGUCUUCGUAAACGGAUGCAUUCUCGAAGGAGAAUGCCAAUCUUGGAAUCUAUGCCUUGGUCGGGACAGUUGCUUGCAAUUUUUCGACUCGAACCAGGAAUUCCUUGUAAUCGUGAUUCAUCACAUCACGAUGAAUACGUCCCUGCCCUUUGUACACACCGCCCGUCGCUCCUACCGAUCGAAGAGUUAGGUGAAUUGUUUUGAUCGAUAAGAUUUGACUAUGGUCAACUCUCGUUGUGAAAUUCUGUGAAUCUGACUGUUUAGAGGAAGGAAAAGUCGUAACA
rnacentral:rRNA from 1 species